rnacentral:rRNA from 1 species
UAGGGAAUUUUCGUCAAUGGGGGAAGCCCUGAACGAGCAAUGCCGCGUGUGUGAAGAAGGUCUUCGGAUCGUAAAGCACUGUUGUAAGUGAAGAAUGCCAUAUAGAGGAAAUGCUAUGUGGGUGACGGUAGCUUACCAGAAAGCCACGGCUAACUACGUGCCAGCAGCCGCGGUAAUACGUAGGUGGCAAGCGUUAUCCGGAAUCAUUGGGCGUAAAGGGUGCGUAGGUGGCACGAUAAGUCUGAAGUAAAAGGCAACAGCUCAACUGUUGUAUGCUUUGGAAACUGUCGAGCUAGAGUGCAGAAGAGGGCGAUGGAAUUCCAUGUGUAGCGGUAAAAUGCGUAGAUAUAUGGAGGAACACCAGUGGCGAAGGCGGUCGCCUGGUCUGUAACUGACACUGAUGCACGAAAGCGUGGGGAUCAAACAGGAUUAGAUACC